UUAAGCAUAUCAAUAAGCGGAGGAAAAGAAACUAACCAGGAUUCCCUUAGUAACUGCGAGUGAAGUGGGAAGAGCUCAAAUUUGUAAUCUGGCGGCCGUUUGGCAGUCCGAGUUGUAAUCUAAAGAAGUGCUACCUGCGCUGGACCGUGUACAAGUCUUCUGGAAUGGAGCAUCAUAGAGGGUGAGAAUCCCGUCUUUGACAUGGACUCCCAGUGCUCAAUAGGUGCGCUCUCRAAGAGUCGAGUUGUUUGGGAAUGCAGCUCAAAAYGGGUGGUAAAUGCCAUCUAAAGCUAAAUAUUGGCGAGAGACCGAUAGCGAACAAGUACCGUGAGGGAAAGAUGAAAAGAACUUUGGAAAGAGAGUUAAACAGUACGUGAAAUUGCUGAAAGGGAAACGCUUGAAGUCAGUCRCGUCGGUCGGAAAUCAACCUUGCUCUUGCUGGGUGUACUUUCCGUCCGACGGGUCAGCAUCAAUUUUGGCUGCUGGAUAAAGUUCUUUGGGAAUGUGGCAUCCUUUGGAUGUGUUAUAGCCCUUGGGACAUAUGCAGCUGCUGGGAUUGAGGAACUCAGCACGCCUCUCUGGCUGGGCCUUGUCCACACGAACGUGCUUAGGAUGCUGGCGUAAUGGCUUUAAUCGACCCGUCUUGAAACACGGACCAAGGAGUCUAACAUGCCUGCGAGUG
rnacentral:rRNA from 2 species